AGUAACACGUGGAUAACCUACCUAUAAGACUGGGAGUAACUUCGGGAAACCGGGAGCUAAUACCGGAUAAUAUAUUGAACCGCAUGGUUCAAUAGUGAAAGACGGUUUUGUCUGUCACUUAUAGAUGGAUCCGCGCCGCAUUAGCUAGUUGGUAAGGUAACGGCUUACCAAGGCAACGAUGCGUAGCCGACCUGAGAGGGUGAUCGGCCACACUGGAACUGAGACACGGUCAAGACUCCUACGGGAGGCGCAGCU
rnacentral:rRNA from 1 species